UACGAAGGGGGCUAGCGUUGCUCGGAUUGACUGGGCGUAAAGGGCGCGUAGGCGGUUCGUUCAGUCAGACGUGAAAUUCCUGGGCUCAACCUGGGGACUGCGUUUGAUACGUGCGGACUUGAGUGCGGAAGAGGGUCGUGGAAUUCCCAGUGUAGAGGUGAAAUUCGUAGAUAUUGGGAGGAACACCGGUGGCGAAGGCGGCGACCUGGUCCGAUACUGACGCUGAGGCGCGAAAGCGUGGGGAGCAAACAGG
rnacentral:rRNA from 1 species